CUGGUAAUAAAAUCAGGUACAACUCCAAAAGGAGACACUGGAGAAGACCCAAGCUGGGUCUAUAAGGAAUUGCACAUGAGAUGGCACACAUAUUUAUGCUGGCUGAAAAUCACAGAUGGGAA